AAAAUAAUUCGUGUUCUAAAGCAGAAUUGCACGACAGCUUAGGUCUUACUAUUUAGUUAUAGCCUAACGAAUACUGUGUUCCUACCUGUUCUCGCAAAAACUAAAGAUCCUAGCUUAUUUAAAUAGUAUUCAGGUAAAGCACUAUGCCAUCCGACCAGCUCACUAAAUGUAUUUAUUACCUGUCUCUACAUAGCUUAUGUAAAAGCUCGAUGUUGACUGUUCAUGUCUGCCGCAUUUAAAAGCUGCCAGAGUGAUUGUCUCAUCUAAUUAUGUCAACACACUGUGUUACAGUGUCCUGUACAUAGGCCACAGAACAAAAGUGACUAUAAACUGCUUACUCAACACCUAGCCCAAAAAAGGGCUGAGGCAGUACAGUAAUGCCUUUAGUUAAAAUGGCCCACUGAAUCAUUUCCAUCUGUGCAUUUUUUACCAUAAAUACUGAAGUAGUAUUUUUUAACUGUCUUUUCAGGCUUGUAAAACAAAUCUCUAUAUCACAUCUACAUAGUCUAAAUAUGUCGAAUAAUUCAGUUUAAAAAGUGUUGCCUACUAACUAAAGAAAAAUAGCUACCAAUUUUCCUAUUUAGUUGCUUAAAUCAUUUUCCAUUGCCAUUGUAGAACUGCCUUAAAUGGUUUCUUUCACCACUAUUAUGUGCAAAACAAAAGGAGGAUACUGUAGUGCAUUCUUACCUGUCUUACAUUAGCUGUUUUCACUAGUCCAAGGGUAGACAUUCCUCAGGAGUGACCCAUGUAGCGCUGUCCAGUAGUCAAGAGGAUAACGUUAUUUUCACUUCGGUCUCCAAAAACUAAAGUUGGAAAUCUACAAAAUUAACAUAUAUAGACUUUCAAAGGCCACAUCUUGGGAGGUGGGAGUGAAGAGGAAGGAAGAAGAAGAGAAGGGAGAGGGAGAAGAGAGAAAAAAAGAAAAGCUAAUAGAAAAACGCAAACCUGCAGCUGAGUUAAAUGGGGGGAAACUAAAGUUCACAGUGUAUAUUUUUUGAAAAGUUGAUUGAUUUUUGGGAAGGCUGUAUGUAUUUGUACACGUACGCAUGUGAAUAUGAGUGUGUUUAGGAUCAGGAGGGAGAGCCUGUAUCAUCCAUUGCUUUUUUGGUUAAAUAGAGUCAUAUAUUAGUAAAAAAACAACUAUGUCUAACUCCCAAGUUCAUUCAUUCAAUGUUUAAUGUUAGAAUUAUAAUCUUAUUGUUAAACUCAGGACAACUCUGUGAAGAUUUACAAAGUAAGUGUAUGAAACCUUAUGACGAAACUACAAAGCUAUCAGUAAUUAAUGCACAUAAAAAGCCUUGCUGGGAAAAAUCAUGGGUGAUUUCCCUACAAAACAGGUUGACAUGCAACCUAUUCUUUUUUGUUUCUCAAGUUGUAGAGAUUUUAAUAGUUUCUAUUAAGUCCUUAACAUCUCCCAAAUUAAAAAGACUGAAAAUUAUUUUUAAAGCCUAAGGAAUAUAGAGUAACAGACAUUACAAGUUAAAUGAAUAGUUCCUACAAUUGCUGUGUACAUUAAGUAAUACAAUUUCAUAUUUCCAUCUUAUUACACAUGGAUUAGAUUUAUAGGUACAGUCGCAUGAAGCAUCAUUCACUUUUAUCAACUUCAAUGUUUUAGAGGGUUUUCAUACUACUCUAUGAAUGCUCUGAAUGCUGCAGAGAAAAAGAAGCACAAUCAGUAUUUUAUGUUCUAAGAUUUCUCAGUUGGGUUAUCCUAUCCUGCCCACACACAUAAUAGCAUUAGCAUUUCAUCUUAUACUAUGUUGAAAUACUUUUAAUACAAACUCUCGGUAAAAGCUAAAGCUUACGCAUAAGUGGUAAGUCUCGUCUAGUGUCAUUCACUGCAUCAACAUGCUUUAUUUCAUCAUAUUUGCACACAAGGUGUUUUGAUUUCAGUUUUGUGAAGAGAUACGAUUUAGCAUACGCGUGUUUGUUCAGCUGUCCAUCCUGCACCAUUAAUACAAUGCCUUUCUCUCCCAUUUAAUGGUGUUUGUAUCAAUGUCCCCAUAUCUGCUGCAUUUUAACUCCAUAAAAAGAAAAUGUGAUUUUGUAUUAGUAGUUUUGCUGAUCAAUUCAGUAUUUCUGCACCAGUCAGCAUACUUAUAUGCAUGUAGUAGUCUGUACAAUUGUUCAACAUCAAAAUACUUGUUUACUUUAUGUCAAAAUGUCUAUAAAAUUGCUGGCAUUGUUCUCCAUUUCAGUCUGGUAGAAUAAGCAAGAUAGAAAAUAAAUGUGUAAAUG
rnacentral:lncRNA from 1 species